UACGUAGGGGGCAAGCGUUGUUCGGAUUUACUGGGCGUAAAGGGCGCGUAGGCGGUCAGCACAAGUCAAUUGUGAAAUCUCCGAGCUUAACUCGGAAAGGUCAACUGAAACUGUGCGACUAGAGUGCGGAAGGGGCAACUGGAAUUCUUGGUGUAGCGGUGAAAUGCGUAGAUAUCAAGAGGAACACCUGCGGCGAAGGCGGGUUGCUGGGCCGACACUGACGCUGAAGCGCGAAAGCCAGGGGAGCGAACGGG
rnacentral:rRNA from 1 species